CCUACGGGAGGCAGCAGUGAGGAAUAUUGGUCAAUGGACGAGAGUCUGAACCAGCCAAGUAGCGUGAAGGAUGACUGCCCUAUGGGUUGUAAACUUCUUUUAUAUGGGAAUAAAAUGUUCCACGUGUGGGAUUUUGUAUGUACCAUAUGAAUAAGGAUCGGCUAACUCCGUGCCAGCAGCCGCGGUAAUACGGAGGAUCCGAGCGUUAUCCGGAUUUAUUGGGUUUAAAGGGAGCGUAGGUGGAUUGUUAAGUCAGUUGUGAAAGUUUGCGGCUCAACCGUAAAAUUGCAGUUGAAACUGGCAGUCGUGAGUACAGUAGAGGUGGGCGGAAGUCGUGGUGUAGCGGUGAAAUGCUUAGAUAGCACGAAGAACUCCGAUUGCGAAGGCAGCUCACUGGACUGCAACUGACACUGAGGCUCGAAAGUGUGGGUAUCAAACAGGAUUAGAUACCCUGGUAGUC
rnacentral:rRNA from 1 species